GCCUGAGUGGCUUAGUCGGUUAAGUGUCCGACUUUGGCUCAGAUCAUGAACUCAUGGUUCAUGGGUUCGAGCCCUGUGUCGGGCU
rnacentral:tRNA from 1 species